UGGGGAAUUUUGGACAAUGGGCGAAAGCCUGAUCCAGCAAUGCCGCGUGUGUGAAGAAGGCCUUCGGGUUGUAAAGCACUUUUGUCCGGAAAGAAAUCCUUGGCUCUAAUACAGUCGGGGGAUGACGGUACCGGAAGAAUAAGCACCGGCUAACUACGUGCCAGCAGCCGCGGUAAUACGUAGGGUGCAAGCGUUAAUCGGAAUUACUGGGCGUAAAGCGUGCGCAGGCGGUUUGCUAAGACCGAUGUGAAAUCCCCGGGCUCAACCUGGGAACUGCAUUGGUGACUGGCAGGCUAGAGUAUGGCAGAGGGGGGUAGAAUUCCACGUGUAGCAGUGAAAUGCGUAGAGAUGUGGAGGAAUACCGAUGGCGAAGGCAGCCCCCUGGGCCAAUACUGACGCUCAUGCACGAAAGCGUGGGGAGCAAACAGGAUUAGAUACCCUGGUAGUCCACGCCCUAAAACGAUGUCAACUAGUUGUUGGGGGAUUCAUUUCCUUAGUAACGUAGCUAACGCGUGAAGUUGACCGCCUGGGGAGUACGGUCGCAAGAUUAAAACUCAAAGGAAUUGACGGGGUCAUAGCUGUUUCCU
rnacentral:rRNA from 1 species